rnacentral:tRNA from 1 species
GCCCGGGUGGCGGAACUGGCAGACGCGCUAGCUUCAGGUGUUAGUGAUCGCAAGGUCGUGGGAGUUCGACUCUCCCCCCGGGCACAA